UAAACAUUUUGGAAGUCACAUCUCAAAAUAUUAAAAUUUAUAACCUAUUAGGAUCCAUCAAAUUUUCACUUCGACACAAAUACUAAUCUAGCAAAAAGAAAGAAAUAAUGAAAAUGUUGAAAGCUGUCAAAAUAAUAAUAAUAAAAAGAUGAGAUCUGAGCGCUAAGUUCUCAUUGGCUGAUUUGCAAAUGGCAUGGAUCAGCUUUUACGCUUGAUCAUACACCGUUAGAUGAACUUAAUCUAACGGAUUAAAUCAUUUUACUCUUUUUUUUCUUCUAUCUUAUUCUUUCUCUUCCUUACGAAUCUCUGUCUCCUUCUUUUCUCCACUUUCUCGAUCUGAAAUAUAUCUGAGAAAAUUUGAGAAAUGAUGGCUAGAAGAAGAAGCGGUGGCGUGACGAAGUCACCUCGUCGGAGGUGUUAGCGUGAUGAAGCGGAGUCGCCGGAAGUGGACGCAUGACGAUUCGGAGUCCCAGAGUCACUCGUCACCACAACCUUCAGUCUCUCUCUCAGUCAUAGUAUGGUAAACAGAUUUAGUAGCCUGAGGAGACGAAGCAAAAGGCUGACGGCGGUGGUCUAGGACCCCGUGGUUCUCUCCGCCGAGAGGGAGAAGAAAGAAGAAGUGGACGACAUCGUUGGCAGAUCCCGAGCUCUCUCCGCUGCGUCUCCAGUCACGCUCUUUGAGGGCGCCGCUGCUCACCUAGCCGGCUUUGACGGAAAAGACACAUGCGGCUGAGAAGAUUAGAUCUAGGUUUUUCUUUUGUGUUUAGGCUUCUUUUCUUUUUAAAAAAUUGGGUUUAAUCUUUUGUAAUACAAUUUUAAUUUAUAAAUCAAGUUUAAUUUAUAAUUGCAA